rnacentral:rRNA from 1 species
CCCUUAGAUGUUCUGGGCCGCACGCGUGCUACACUGAACGGUUCAAUGGGUAAGGUAGUGCGAAAGCAUGACCUAAUCUCGAAAUCCGUUCGUGCUGGGGAUAGAAGCUUGCAAUUAUCCUUCUUGAACGAGGAAUACCUUGUAAGCGUGAGUCAUCAUCUCACGCUGAAUACGUCCCUGCCCUUUGUACACACCGCCCGUCGCUCCUACCGAUUGAGUGUUCCGGUGAGGCUUUGGGAGAAUGGCCUCAACAUGAGUUUAUCGUGUUUUGUCGUUUGAACUUAGUCAAACCUUAUCGCUUAGAGGAAGGAGAAGUCGUAACA